GGGGUUUUGGAAGGGAGCUCCGGAAGGCGAGAUAAAUACAUAACUCCUUAGAGGCUGGCUAAAGAGAGUUUUGAAUUGCUAGUGACUUUUGAAGGUACAAAGACAAGGAGUGUCUGUGGUUCUGCCCUUCCUCUGCCACUGGAUCCUGAAGCCGGUCAAGUGCCACUGGACUUCAUUUACUGUCUUCUCUGCCUUCUACUGGCCUUAGGGGAAAAAAAAAGUGAGGUCAUAUUUGAUGUCCUUUUCUUUGGCUGGAAACCUGAACUGGUCUUUGGAAAUACAAGGUCUUAACAAGGAUGGUGUAUGCUUUGGACUUUGGCAUUUCCAUGAUGAGGUCUCAAAUCCUGAGUUCCAGCUGUGGCGCAAUGGGUUUGGUGGCCUCUUUGGAGUGCUGGGAUGCAGCUGUGGCUCAGAUCUGAUCCCUAGCCUGGGAACUCCCUAUGCCAUGGGGCAGCCAAAAAAAGUUAACAACGACAAAAAAAAUCCUCUCCAUGUCCGCAGUAGUACUUUCUUGACACCUAUUUUUUUGUUUUGUUUUGUUUUUUUAGGGCCACACCCUCAGCAUAUGGAGGUUCCCAGGCUAGGGGUCUAAAUGGAGCUGUAGCCGCCGACCUACACCACAGCCACAGCAACACCAAAUCUGAGUCAUGUCUGCGACCUACACUACAGCUCACGACAAUGCCAGAACCUUAACCUGUUGAACAAGGCCAGGGAUCGAACCUGCAUCCUCAUGGAUACUAGUCGGAUUCGUUUUUAAUCCAGCCACAACAGCAACUUCGACAUGUUCUAAUGUUCUGAGCAUCUGACCUUAACAACUGUAAUUAGAGAGGAAAUGGACCAACACUAUCUUUUUUUUCCCUAGUUUCUCUCCCUACUGGGCAGCAAUAUCAAAUUGACUAGCAAUACUGCUAGUUAAUUUCACACUAGGAUUAGCUCAAUGGGAGAACUUGGUCCUUUUCUUUUACAAAGGCUUUUUUCCAGGAGACCAUUUCUUUUAGGAACUAAAAAAAAAAGAAAAAGAAAAAAAAUCUCCUGGAAGAUUUUUACUUGAACAUAGACAACAUUAAAAAUGGCUAGCAAUCUGAGUUCUACAGCUCUGUCUUGAAUCACUGUGUGAUCAUGGCUAGUUAUUAACCCUCUGCAUUUAAAAUUACUCACCCGUAAAACAAAAGUAUGCAGUGGAAUUUUUCUCAGCUAUAAAAAGAAUGAAAUAAUGCCAUUUGAAGCAACAUGGAUGGGUCUAGAGAUUAUCAUACUAAGUGAAGUCAAAGACAAACAUGAUAUUAUUCAUAUGUGGAAUCUAAAAAUGAGAUACAAAUGAACUUAUUUGCAGAACAAAUAGACUCAUAGAUUUUGAAAACAAAUUCAUGGUUACCAAAGGGGACAGGUGGGGGUGGAGGCAGGGAUGGAUUGAUUGGCAUAUGCACACUAUGGUAUGGAAUGAUUGCCAGACAAGGACCAACUACAUAGCACAGGGAACUCUACCCAAUAUUCUAUGAUAAUCUAUAUAGGAAAGAAUCUGAAAAAGAAUGGAUGUGUGUGUAUAUAUAUCUGAAUCACUUUGUUGUACAGCAGAAAUUGUCACAACAUUGGAAAUCAACUAUACUUCAAUAAAACUUUUAAAAAUGAAGAAAAAAAAGGAAAG
ensembl:lncRNA